GGAAGGAUGGCUCAGUGGUUAAGAGCACUCCUGAUCUUUCCAAGGACCUGGGUUCAAUUCCCAGCACUUACA
rnacentral:tRNA from 1 species